rnacentral:rRNA from 1 species
GAUGAACGCUGGCGGCGUGCCUAAUACAUGCAAGUCGAGCGAACAGAUGAGGAGCUUGCUCCUCUGACGUUAGCGGCGGACGGGUGAGUAACACGUGGAUAACCUACCUAUAAGACUGGGAUAACUUCGGGAAACCGGAGCUAAUACCGGAUAAUAUAUUGAACCGCAUGGUUCAAUAGUGAAAGACGGUUUUGCUGUCACUUAUAGAUGGAUCCGCGCCGCAUUAGCUAGUUGGUAAGGUAACGGCUUACCAAGGCGACGAUGCGUAGCCGACCUGCGAGGGUGCUCGGCCACACUGGAACUGAGACACGGUCCAGACUCCUACGGGAGGCAGCAGUAGGGAAUCUUCCGCAAUGGGCGCAAGCCUGACGGAGCAACGCCGCGUGAGUGAUGAAGGUCUUCGGAUCGUAAAACUCUGUUAUUAGGGAAGAACAAAUGUGUAAGUAACUAUGCACGUCUUGACGGUACCUAAUCAGAAAGCCACGGCUAACUACGUG